rnacentral:rRNA from 1 species
AGAGUUUGAUCCUGGCUCAGGACGAACGCUGGCGACGUGCUUAACACAUGCAAGUCGAACGGAGCACCCUUGAAAGAGAUUUCGGUCAAUGGAUAGGAAUGCUUAGAGGCGGACGGGUGAGUAACGCGUGAGGAACCUGCCUUUCAGAGGGGGACAACAGCUGGAAACGGCUGCUAAUACCGCAUAACACAUAGGUGUCGCAUGGCAUUUAUGUCAAAGAUUUAUCGCUGAGAGAUGGCCUCGCGUCUGAUUAGCUAGUUGGUAGGGUAACGGCCUACCAAGGCGACGAUCAGUAGCCGGACUGAGAGGAAGGUCCCCCACACUGGUACUGAGACACGGACCAGACUCCUACGGGAGGCAGCAGUGAGGAAUAUUGGUCAAUGGGCGCGAGCCUGAACCAGCCAAGUCGCGUGAGGGAUGACGGUCCUACGGAUUGUAAACCUCUUUUGCCGGGGAGCAAGCGUGCGUUCGUGAACGCGCGUCGAGAGUACCCGGAGAAAAAGCAUCGGCUAACUCCGUGCCAGCAGCCGCGGUAAUACGGAGGAUGCGAGCGUUAUCCGGAUUUAUUGGGUUUAAAGGGUGCGUAGGCGGGAUGCCAAGUCAGCGGUAAAAAAGCGGUGCUCAACGCCGUCGAGCCGUUGAAACUGGCGUUCUUGAGUGGGCGAGAAGUAUGCGGAAUGCGUGGUGUAGCGGUGAAAUGCAUAGAUAUCACGCAGAACUCCGAUUGCGAAGGCAGCAUACCGGCGCCCUACUGACGCUGAGGCACGAAAGCGUGGGUAUCGAACAGGAUUAGAUACCCUGGUAGUCCACGCAGUAAACGAUGAAUGCUAACUGUCCGGUGCGAGUGAGCGCUGGGCGGUACAGCGAAAGCGUUAAGCAUUCCACCUGGGGAGUACGCCGGCAACGGUGAAACUCAAAGGAAUUGACGGGGGCCCGCACAAGCGGAGGAACAUGUGGUUUAAUUCGAAGCAACGCGAAGAACCUUACCAGGCCUUGACAUGGGAUGCGAAGAUGCAGAGAUGCAUCGGAGGUCAACAUCCACACAGGUGUGCAUGGUUGUCGUCAGCUCGUGUCGUGAGAUGUUGGGUCAAGUCCCGCAACGAGCGCAACCCUUGUGGCAUGUUGCUAACAGGAAAAGCUGAGGACUCAUGCCAGACUGCCGGUGACAAACCGGAGGAAGGCGGGGAUGACGUCAAAUCAUCAUGCCCCUUAUGGCCUGGGCUACACACGUACUACAAUGGCGGCUACAAAGAGCAGCGAGACAGGGAUGUCGAGCGAAUCUCAUAAAAGCCGUCCCAGUUCGGAUUGGAGGCUGCAACCCGCCUCCAUGAAGUUGGAAUCGCUAGUAAUCGCGGAUCAGCAUGCCGCGGUGAAUACGUUCCCGGGCCUUGCACUCACCAAGGGUCAAG